rnacentral:lncRNA from 1 species
UGUCCGUCUCCACACAGUAGCUCCACGGGGCGCUGGCUUUGUCCCAGGCUGGGUCUCUGUGCCUAGAACGGUGCUUGGUGUGGUAGGCACGGUGUUCUCUGUCGGAUUCGAUGCUGGAUCUACUGGAAAAUGUAACCAGCUAUUUGAAGAGUACCUGGAAAAUCAACAUUUAAUGGAUUUAUGAAAAAAGAGGAGAAAAUGAAGAUCUAAAUAGGCAAAUAAGGAAAUGAGGUCACCAACCAGGAUCAGGAUGAGGAAGGAGGUGAUGGAGAUUUGAGGUGAGAGGAGACAUCCAGGAGAGUGACGGAGUGAAUGGGCAAAGCAUGUGAUGCCAUCUCCCCUUCAGCUGUUGUCCACAUUUCUCAAUUCCCAUUUACAGCAAAACUCCCCCAAAGAGUGAUUAUACUCCCUGCCUUCAGUUCUACUUCCUGCUCAUCUUGAAACCACUCUAAUCAAGUAUUCACUCAAAAUGCCUCUGAAACUAUUGUCAAGGUCACUGGUGAAUUACAUGUUAUUAAAUUUAACAGUCAAUUUUCAGUCCUUAACUUUCUCGACUUAUCAGUGGCAUUUGAUAGUGGAUUGCUCCCUUCCCUGUGAAAAAAUUUCUUUGCUUGUCUUCUGUUUUGCGGCUGCUUGCCUACUUCCUCCUUCUCUGUCUACGGUACCAAUUCUUCAUCCUCUCUCUGACUUAAAUAUUGGAGAACUCAGGUUUCAUUCCCUGGAGCUUGUCUCUAACCACACUCGCUCUGUUGGUGGUCUCAUCCACAUAUAUGUGGAAGGCUUCCAAAUUUAUAUCUCCAUCACAGACCUUUCCCCUGAACUCCAAGUGCAUAGACCCAACUGCUCACUUGACAUCUGCACUUGAAUGUCUAACAGGCUUCUCUAACCAAACUUCUAAUCUUUCCUCCAAAAAACUCACUCCACUCCUGAUUCCUCCCCAUUGCAGGAAAUGAUAACUCUACGCUCUUAGUUGCUCAGGCUAAAAAUUUGGGAGUCAUCCUUGCCUCUUCCCUUUCUCUUAUAUUACACAUUCAACUCUGUAAGCAAAUCCUGUUGUUUCUACCUUCAAGAUAGAGUCAAUGUCUGAUGGUCUCUUACCACCUUGUUGCUUCCAUUCUGGUCUAAGUUGCUGUCAUCUCCCACCUGGAUGGCUGCAGCAGCCCUGUAACCAGUGUCCCUGUGACGUCAGCAGUCUUUUCUCCCAAGCAGCAGCCACAGGGAGGUCAGGGAGGACUUCCUGAAGAAGUAAUUCUCGAACCAAGAUAGGGAAGAAGAGGAGGAGAAGCUGAAUACGCCAAGAGGAGAGAAGAUCCUUCCAGGCAAAGGGAAAUACACCUUCCUGUGGGUGGAAGCGUGGUGAGAGCAAGGGACUAAGGAAGGCCUCAUUCCCUUGUAUCGGACACCUCCCUGAUGGCUGACAUGAGGGCCACCAGGAACGCAGGCUCAGUUCAACACACUGAUGACCGUGAAGUUACUGUGUUAGUCUUUCUGGUCCCAAGUUCAGAAAUUCCAGGGAAAGACUUUGAUGAACCCUCUUGGGUCAGGGGACUAGUUGGAGGGGUGGAGCAGCAUGCCUGGGCCAGCUUGGGUCACUUCCUCACCCUGAGACAAAUCCCUGUGGCCAGAGAGGUGAGAUCUCUAAAAAGAUGGCAGCUACCUCCAAAUCCCCCUUCAAACGUGGAGAGGCACAUUUCCCCCGGAGAACAUGAGGAUGCUCCACUGACUAGACAAGGCACUAGAUGCCCACUGUAGUGACUGAGCAGGAGGGGCUUUUUGUGGUCCAAGAAUUAAGAGGUUGGAGACAUAGUGUUCGGAGAAGCAAGAUGACACCACGUUGGAACUUUGGGAAGAAAAAACCUUAGGAAAAACUUCCUGUAUCAGGAAGUGGCAAGUAAACUGUGAGUAGUGAUAUUUUAGUCAGUUUUAAGUUGAAUAAAUGCCCUGUGCGGUUCCCAGGGAAAGCUGUUGCCUGUGAAAGCUUUGUGUUAAUGGGGCCUGAUCCAAUUAACAAGACGGGCCGUGUCCUCUUCAAGGAGAAGAAGUUUAAUAGAAGAUAGAAACCUGCAGGAGCAGUUGUUCCAUGAUGGAUGGUGACUGCCAACUGAACUGGGAGUUAUAGUUUUUCAGAAAGAAAAAAAGAAGGAAGGUGAUAGGUGAGCAUCAGGAAAAUGCUAGCACCAUUUUCCUUUCCGAUCUCAGCAUCAUCUCGCACUGGUGCUCAGUCCUUCCUAUUUGUCUCUCUACAUCCAUUUUACACCAUCAUCCCAGUUUGUGGAGAGACUGACCUGAAUGAACUGUGUUCAUGAGCAUCCUUGUGUGCUACCCAUGAGAUGACCAGCAGCGUGGGGAGGAGGUGAGGCAGGGUGUUUAGUCCGGGGCUCCCUGUUGGUUCACCCUGGUCCUGUAGAACGACAGGGCAGCAUCUGCUCUCUCCAGGGGUAGUGACAGCUUUCUGCUAUUGUUGGUCCUGAGAUCCUCCUCCAUUCCUUACUUCUCCAAACUCUGCUCACUCUUUUUGUGAACAAUCCCCUUGUUAAACUCUAUUCAAUUUCCCAGUCUGAGUGCACAAUUUAUUUCCUGCUGGGACUCAGGCUGAUAUAAGGACGUGGGGUAUUCUAACUGAACAAUUUUAGGGAGCUAAAGAAGAUAGGGGUGAUUGCAGACUGUUUUGUGGAGUUUGUGUAGAGGCACAAAGACAAAUCUGAGGAGACUGAAGUUAUACCGCAAAACGCCCCACAGAGAACACGCACUCACUGAAACCAGAUGUCUGCAACAGUCAGAGAAGGAAGCAGCCUGAUGCCAAAUGGUCCACAUCCAGGUGAUCAUCACAAAGGUAGAAACAUGAAUUAGAAUACAUUUUGGAGAAGUUUGCAAACGGAUGAUGCCCUUUCUGCAUUAUUGAACUCUAGCCAGUCAAAGGUUCACAGAAAGGUGAUGAUAAUAAUGCACUUUUUCUCUAUUUCUUUGGCGUGUACACCCUCCAGCUUUAAUGUCUCCUUUGUUGUAACAUUUAUUUGGCAUGUCCUGUGAUCCUUGCAUGAUAUUGAUCUAUAAAAUUGGAUGAACAAACAGGCCACCAGUUCACCUGUAUCGAAAUAGCUCUAAAGGGGAAGACAUCUGGGUGGAUAGAUGAGACGGCACUUACGCAGCCAGAGGAACCCAAAAUAAACAGAAGGAAAAAAAAUAAACCUGAGAUGCCGCAGAAUUCGGGAAGCAAUUUAUAUACUAACUCUAUGACGGUGGAGGAACUUUCAGGAGAAAAAGUCUGACAUUAACCUACGAUGGAGACAGCAGGCUGCACUCAGUGAUCGGUAGGCACAGUUUUUGAAAUGAGUGUGCGUUGCACUUGCACUUGCAUUUGUGAGUGUGCACAAUGCUCAUAGAUAGAAGAGAAAGAGCAAGUUAUGGUUCCUUGUUAUGAUCUUAGCUUAGUGCAUCACCUGACAAAGGGCUUUGCAUAUUGAAAAUGUAAGCAUUAGUUGAACAAAUGAACAGAAAUGUCUGCUGAAAAAUGAGCACAAACCACCAGCAUGUUAAUAAAUGAACACUUUUGUUCUCAGUGUAAUGUUCUGCUUGUUUAACUGAUUGUUGUUUUGAUUGCAAUCUCUUCACUGACGAUAGUAUUGAUAAACCUAUCAAAGAGAUAUAUUGAGUGUCUGUUUACUGAAAGUAAAUUGCUGGGAUUUCAAACACCUUUUGGAUCUACUCCUAAAGGAGUUAUAAAACAUCUCUUAAUUUGUUAAUCAUUAAUAUUUGGCCCCUGUGACUUGUGUGUGUAAAUAUACACAGUAGAUGCUCAUUUUGUCAAGUUGUUUCUGACUCAGAUGCUGUGUUUCCUUGGCCACUUCUAACCUGAGCAAAAGUGUGGGUGACAGAGUAGUGAAAAUCCAGAGUCUCCAUCACGAGUCUCCAUCACAUGAACAAGUAGAAGAUGUGUCCCCACAUGGAGGCUUACUGCCAUCGUCUUUAUGUAUUUAUGAAUUUGCAUAGUAACGAAUGCCCUUUUAGGUUGAAUUAUUAGAAUUUUAUCAAUGCCUCGAUCGUUACUUCAAAAACUAAUUUUGUGCCAUCUGUGUUCAUUGGAUGAGAGGAAAAAGGAGAAAAUAUAUUUCAUAUGUCAGACUCCUACAUAAAUGUAGGUGCAGCUUUGACUUGAGAUGCAACACUGGGCUGCUAUGGAAUUUUUACAUGCUGUGUAAUAAAAGUCUGCAAUCUGAUACCUCACACAUCUCCAUUAACCUCCGACAUUGAAUUUGUUCGAUUCUGAUUGUUUUUUCAUUGAUACAAGUGUUUGGUGAGGAAUUAGGAGCUUUCCUUCACAAAUGUUUUGUUUGAUUUACAGCAUUUUGGGCUGUGAUAUUCCUGGUUAGAAUACUUUACUGUUGAAUUCUUUAAAAAAAAAAAUCAGUGGAACUCCCAGAGGAUAAUGUGCAUCAGUUCUAUGUUAAAUUCUUUGUUCAGACUUAUUAUUUCAGCCUCCAAAAUGUGUUUUCACUAACAUAAUAGCGUGAUAAAUGCAAAAAGUGUGUGCGCAGCUUUAAACAUUUGGAAAUGCUUCUAAAGGUCGCUUUUCUACUGGGCAGCUUACUUUUUCUAUAAAGCUGUUUCUGUUCCAUACCCUACUGUCCCAAGGUUUCCAAAAGUUGAACAUGAACUCUGGAGGAAUUCUCCUUUGGACUUAAAAACUGGAGUUGCCUGGCAGACAGUUUUUAUUCUUGUCUGACUGAGUUCCCCAGCUUUCUCCCUUCUUGUGUCCUUGGACAUCAGUUUCACUUGUUUUCCUUUGAAUGGGUCAGAGUGGUUUCUCAACUUACAGUACAUAAACCUCCCAGCUAAGUGUCAUGUUCGUCCUGGACUGUCCAUGCUGCUCCACUCUCCUGUUUAACCUUCCUCAUCACCUCCUCUCCUCCAGCACUUAGUAGACAUGAACCAUCAAAAUUCAAUGCCACCACCAAAACAGCCUACAUCACGAAGACAGUCUACCCCUUUACACCCGUAUCUGCUCUUCCCGAGCUGGCAGCCAGUAGCCACAUGUGGCUGUUCAGCACCUGCCGUGGAGCUAGUCCAAAUUGAGAUGGGCUGUAAGUGUGAAGCAUGUACCAGAUUUCCAAGACUUAGUGCAAAUAAAAAGGAUGUAAACAUCUUAUUAAUAAUUUUUACAUUGAUUACAUGUUGAAAUGGUGAUAUUUUAAGCUUGUUGGUUUAAAUAUAAUGUUUCAUUAAGAAAUUAAAAU